AUACCGAAGAAUGUUAUCACGGGAGACACACGGCGGGUGCUAACGUCCGUCGUGAAGAGGGAAACAACCCAGACCGCCAGCUAAGGUCCCAAAGUCAUGGUUAAGUGGGAAACGAUGUGGGAAGGCAUAGACAGCCAGGAUGUUGGCUUAGAAGCAGCCAUCAUUUAAAGAAAGCGUAAUAGCUCACUGGUCGAGUCGGCCUGCGCGGAAGAUGUAACGGGGCUAAACCAUGCACCGAAGCUGCGGCAGCGACGCUUAGGCGUUGUUGGGUAGGGGAGCGUUCUGUAAGCCGUUGAAGGUGGCCUGUGAGGGUUGCUGGAGGUAUCAGAAGUGCGAAUGCUGACAUAAGUAACGAUAAAGCGGGUGAAAAGCCCGCUCGCCGGAAGACCAAGGGUUCCUGUCCAACGUUAAUCGGGGCAGGGUGAGUCGACCCCUAAGGCGAGGCUGAAAAGCGUAGUCGAUGGGAAACAGGUUAAUAUUCCUGUACUUGGUGUUACUGCGAAGGGGGGACGGAGAAGGCUAGGCUAGCCGGGCGACGGUUGUCCCGGUUUAAGCGUGUAGGGGGUGUGACCUGGUAAAUCCGGUUGCAUAUCAACCCUGAGGCGUGAUGACGAUGCACUACGGUGCAGAAGUAGUUGAUGCCCUGCUUCCAGGAAAAUCCUCUAAGCUCCAGGUAACAUUAAAUCGUACCCCAAACCGACACAGGUGGUCAGGUAGAGAAUACCAAGGCGCUUGAGAGAACUCGGGUGAAGGAACUAGGCAAAAUGGUGCCGUAACUUCGGGAGAAGGCACGCUGGCAUGUAGGUGAAGUCCCUUGCGGAUGGAGCUGAAGCCAGUCGAAGAUACCAGCUGGCUGCAACUGUUUAAUAAAAACACAGCACUGUGCAAACACGAAAGUGGACGUAUACGGUGUGACGCCUGCCCGGUGCUGGAAGGUUAAUUGAUGGGGUCAGCCGCAAGGCGAAGCUCUUGAUCGAAGCCCCAGUAAACGGCGGCCGUAACUAUAACGGUCCUAAGGUAGCGAAAUUCCUUGUCGGGUAAGUUCCGACCUGCACGAAUGGCGUAAUGAUGGCCAGGCUGUCUCCACCCGAGACUCAGUGAAAUUGAACUCGCUGUGAAGAUGCAGUGUACCCGCGGCAAGACGGAAAGACCCCGUGAACCUUUACUAUAGCUUGACACUGAACAUUGAGCCUUGAUGUGUAGGAUAGGUGGGAGGCUUUGAAGCGUGGACGCCAGUCUGCGUGGAGCCAUCCUUGAAAUACCACCCUUUAAUGUUUGAUGUUCUAACUCGGCCCCAUAAUCUGGGGUGAGGACAGUGUCUGGUGGGUAGUUUGACUGGGGCGGUCUCCUCCCAAAGAGUAACGGAGGAGCACGAAGGUUAGCUAAUCACGGUCGGACAUCGUGAGGUUAGUGCAAAGGCAUAAGCUAGCUUGACUGCGAGAGUGACGGCUCGAGCAGGUACGAAAGUAGGUCUUAGUGAUCCGGUGGUUCUGAAUGGAAGGGCCAUCGCUCAACGGAUAAAAGGUACUCCGGGGAUAACAGGCUGAUACCGCCCAAGAGUUCAUAUCGACGGCGGUGUUUGGCACCUCGAUGUCGGCUCAUCACAUCCUGGGGCUGAAGUAGGUCCCAAGGGUAUGGCUGUUCGCCAUUUAAAGUGGUACGCGAGCUGGGUUUAGAACGUCGUGAGACAGUUCGGUCCCUAUCUGCCGUGGGCGUUGGAAGAUUGAGAGGGGUUGCUCCUAGUACGAGAGGACCGGAGUGAACGCACCACUGGUGUUCGGGUUGUCAUGCCAAUGGCAUUGCCCGGUAGCUAAGUGCGGAAAAGAUAAGCGCUGAAAGCAUCUAAGCGCGAAACUUGCCUCAAGAUGAGUCUUCCCUGGGCCUUUAAGGCCCCUGAAGGAACGUUUAAGACUAAGACGUUGAUAGGCUGGGUGUGUAAGUGCAGCGAUGCAUUGAGCUAACCAGUACUAAUGAUCCGUGAGGCUUAACCUUACAACACCGAAGGUGUUU
rnacentral:rRNA from 1 species